rnacentral:rRNA from 1 species
AGUGAACGCUGGCGGUAGGCCUAACACAUGCAAGUCGAACGGCAGCACAGUAAGAGCUUGCUCUUACGGGUGGCGAGUGGCGGACGGGUGAGGAAUACAUCGGAAUCUACUUUUUCGUGGGGGAUAACGUAGGGAAACUUACGCUAAUACCGCAUACGACCUACGGGUGAAAGCAGGGGAUCUUCGGACCUUGCGCGAUUGAAUGAGCCGAUGUCGGAUUAGCUAGUUGGCGGGGUAAAGGCCCACCAAGGCGACGAUCCGUAGCUGGUCUGAGAGGAUGAGCAGCCACACUGGAACUGAGACACGGUCCAGACUCCUACGGGAGGCAGCAGUGGGGAAUAUUGGACAAUGGGCGCAAGCCUGAUCCAGACAUACCGCGUGGGUGAAGAAGGCCUUCGGGUUGUAAAGCCCUUUUGUUGGGAAAGAAAAGCAGCAGGUUAAUACCCCGCUGUUCUGACGGUACCCAAAGAAUAAGCACCGGCUAACUUCGUG